UACGUAGGGGGCAAGCGUUGUCCGGAAUCAUUGGGCGUAAAGAGCGUGUAGGCGGCUCGAUAAGUCUGCUGUGAAAGUCCAGGGCUCAACCCUGGAAGGCCGGUGGAAACUGUCGGGCUAGAGUCCGGAAGAGGCGAGUGGAAUUCCUGGUGUAGCGGUGAAAUGCGCAGAUAUCAGGAGGAACACCAAUUGCGAAGGCAGCUCGCUGGGACGUAACUGACGCUGAGACGCGAAAGCGUGGGGAGCAAACAGG
rnacentral:rRNA from 1 species